UGACACACAAACACAUCAGUAGUAAG
rnacentral:misc_RNA from 1 species